rnacentral:sRNA from 1 species
CAGGAGGUGAACACCAGCCAGCCCGAGUUCUGACAGCUAAUUAAUUUCUGUGGUUGUGGCAUGAACGCCUCCCAAGCAUGGGUUCCUUUGCUUCUAGGAAAUUCGCCCCCGUCUGCAGCAUCUGUGAAAAUCCCAUCAUCCCUCGGGAUGGGAAAGAUGCCUUCAAAAUCGAAUGCAUGGGAAGAAACUUCCAUGAAAAUUGCUACAGGUGUGAGGACUGUAGGAUCCUCCUGUCUGUCGAGCCCACGGACCAAGGCUGCUACCCCCUGAACAACCAUCUCUUCUGCAAGCCGUGCCAUGUGAAGCGGAGUGCUGCGGGGUGCUGCUGAGAGUGCCCGCUGGGCAGUGAACAGACCACUAGCCCCGGCUGGGGCCCUUCCCUGACUUGGUUUCCCUUCCUAACCUGCUCUUGCACACUUUCCUUCUGAGCCUCCAUGGGGACCAGCCUGCAAGCUGGCCCAGCCUGUCCAGGAUACAGUGGGGCUGAGCACCCCCAGGCCUUCCAC